GCGUCGGUGGUUCAGUGGUAGAAUGCUCGCCUGCAACCCUGGCGGCCCGGGUUCGAUUCCCGGCCGACGCA
rfam:Toxocara canis scaffold1076, whole genome shotgun sequence.